UACAGAGGGUGCGAGCGUUAAUCGGAAUUACUGGGCGUAAAGCGCGCGUAGGCGGCUUUGCAAGUCGGGUGUGAAAUCCCCAGGCUUAACCUGGGAACUGCAUUCGAGACUGCAUUGCUAGAGUAUGGGAGAGGGAAGUGGAAUUUCCGGUGUAGCGGUGAAAUGCGCAGAUAUCGGGAGGAACACCGAUGGCGAAGGCAGGUCUCUGGGCCACUACUGACGCUGAGAAGCGAAAGCAUGGGGAGCGAACAGG
rnacentral:rRNA from 1 species